UAGGGAAUAUUGGACAAUGGGCGAAAGCCUGAUCCAGCAACGCCGCGUGCAUGAUGACGGCCUUCGGGUUGUAAAGUGCUUUUAGGAGAGAUGAGAAAGGACAGUAUCUCCUGAAUAAGCCUCAGCGAACUACGUGCCAGCAGCCGCGGUAAAACGUAGGAGGCGAGCGUUAUCCGGAUUUAUUGGGCGUAAAGCGCGUGCAGGCGGUUUGGAAAGUUGGAUGUGAAAGCUCCUGGCUUAACUGGGAGAGGUCGUUCAAAACUACCAGACUAGAGAAUGGGAGAGGGAAGUGGAAUUCCGGGUGUAGUGGUGAAAUGCGUAGAUAUCCGGAGGAACACCAGUGGCGAAAGCGGCUUCCUGGACCAUUUCUGACGCUAAGACGCGAAAGCUAGGGGAGCGAACG
rnacentral:rRNA from 1 species